UGGGAAUUUUCCGCAAUGGGCGAAAGCCUGACGGAGCAAUACCGCGUGAGGGAGGAAGGCUCUUGGGUCGUAAACCUCUUUUCUCAGGGAAGAACACAAUGACGGUACCUGAGGAAUAAGCAUCGGCUAACUCCGUGCCAGCAGCCGCGGUAAUACGGAGGAUGCAAGCGUUAUCCGGAAUGAUUGGGCGUAAAGCGUCCGCAGGUGGCAAUGUAAGUCUGCUGUUAAAGAGUGAGGCUCAACCUCAUAAGAGCAGUGGAAACUACAUAGCUAGAGUACGUUCGGGGCAGAGGGAAUUCCUGGUGUAGCGGUGAAAUGCGUAGAGAUCAGGAAGAACACCGGUGGCGAAGGCGCUCUGCUAGGCCGUAACUGACACUGAGGGACGAAAGCUAGGGGAGCGAAUGGGAUUAGAUACCCCAGUAGUC
rnacentral:rRNA from 1 species